rnacentral:rRNA from 1 species
UACGUAGGGGGCAAGCGUUGUCCGGAUUUAUUGGGCGUAAAGGGCGUGCAGGCGGUCUAUUAAGUCUGGGGUGAAAGCUCCCGGCUCAACUGGGAGAGGUCCUUGGAUACUGGUGGACUUGAGGGAUGCAGAGGAAAGUGGAAUUCCCGGUGUAGUGGUGAUAUGCGUAGAUAUCGGGAGGAACACCAGUGGCGAAGGCGGCUUUCUGGGCAGUUCCUGACGCUGAGACGCGAAAGCGUGGGGAGCGAACCGG